GACGAACGCUGGCGGCGUGCUUAACACAUGCAAGUCGAACGGUAAGGCCCCUUCGGGGGUACACGAGUGGCGAACGGGUGAGUAACACGUGGGUGACCUGCCCUGUACUUCGGGAUAAGCCUGGGAAACUGGGUCUAAUACCGGAUAUGACCUUCCUCUGCAUGGGGGUUGGUGGAAAGCUUUUGCGGUACAGGAUGGGCCCGCGGCCUAUCAGCUUGUUGGUGGGGUAAUGGCCUACCAAGGCGACGACGGGUAGCCGGCCUGAGAGGGCGACCGGCCACACUGGGACUGAGACACGGCCCAGACUCCUACGGGAGGCAGCAGUGGGGAAUAUUGCACAAUGGGCGAAAGCCUGAUGCAGCGACGCCGCGUGAGGGAUGACGGCCUUCGGGUUGUAAACCUCUUUCAGUAGGGACGAAGCGCAAGUGACGGUACCUACAGAAGAAGCACCGGCCAACUACGUGCCAGCCGCCGCCGUAAAAC
rnacentral:rRNA from 1 species